rnacentral:rRNA from 1 species
UACCAGCACCCCGAGUGGUCGGGACGUUUAUUGGGCCUAAAGCAUCCGUAGCCGGUUCUACAAGUCUUCCGUUAAAUCCACCUGCUUAACAGAUGGGCUGCGGAAGAUACUAUAGAGCUAGGAGGCGGGAGAGGCAAGCGGUACUCGAUGGGUAGGGGUAAAAUCCGUUGAUCCAUUGAAGACCACCAGUGGCGAAGGCGGCUUGCCAGAACGCGCUCAACGGUGAGGGAUGAAAGCUGGGGGAGCAAACCGG